ensembl:lncRNA LINC01980 long intergenic non-protein coding RNA 1980
ACACUUGGGUUCAUCUUCAUGAGGUGUAAUGGCGCCGGGAUGCGCUCUCCUCUUCUCAUUUGCCAAUUUAUUGCAGAUCCCUCCUCAAAAAAGUUUUGGGACUAACUCAGCCCCAUGGAGAUCAAGGUGAAUUAGAAAAACAACAAAACAAAACAAGAUUCAUUUUAACAUCUCAUUUUUCUAUCUCCAACUUUCCCUCCCCUCCUCCCACCCCAGGAAGAAAAGACUACGUUUGUUUCUGGUGAUACAUUCAUUGUAGGUGGGUGGGUGACUUCUAGAAGAGGAAAAUCAAGAAGAUUUGGAGAAGGAGUCUUGGAAGCUCUGGUGAAGUUUUCCAAAACUGGGAAGGACAGAGCCACAGGUCUGCCUGUUCUUUUGCUUUGCCAUUUGUGUGGAUACCUAGUAGAGCAAUUUGGGUGCCAUUCUUUGAGGAAUCCAUUGGAUCUGUCAGAAAGCUGAGUCUGCUCAGCCUGUGUUAGUGGAGAAGAGGGAAGGAAACUGGCUGGAGGCCGCUGGACCCACAGAGGACAAUAGACAAUCUCCUGCUCUAAGAAGGAAUCAGUGGCCUUAAGAAGACAAUCUUGAAAAAGGACCUAAGUGAUGGAUGCCCACUGGAUCCAAAGAGAGAAACUCUAUAGAAUUAUGAUCUAGGUUUGACUGACUCCUGGCAAGAAGCCCUACCCGCCAGCCAAUUUGGAUGAGGUCACAGGGGUCAUCCAUCUUUCCUUCUAUGUGACUGGUUUGCUCUUGCAUAUCAUGUUUUCCGCUCUUAUGCUCCAGAUCCAUCAUGAGAAGAACAUGCCCUGGAUUCCUGCUAUCCCUUUAGCCAUGGCUCCAAAAUUAACACACACAAGGAAGACCUGAGGUCAAUCCACAGCCUGGAUUCAAGUCACCUAAUACAUAGGAGAAUCAGAGCUACCCAGCCACACUCAAUCUACGUUAACUGAACCUCAGCUGACCUGCAGAUUUAUGAGUAUGAGAAUAAAGGCUUGUUAAUGUAUAUCAUUAA